rnacentral:rRNA from 1 species
UUCGCCCUUAGAGUUUGAUCCUGGCUCAGAGCGAACGCUGGCGGCAGGCUUAACACAUGCAAGUCGAACGGGCUUCUUCGGAAGUCAGUGGCAGACGGGUGAGUAACACGUGGGAACGUGCCCUUCGGUUCGGAAUAACUCAGGGAAACUUGAGCUAAUACCGGAUACGCCCUUAUGGGGAAAGGUUUACUGCCGAAGGAUCGGCCCGCGUCUGAUUAGCUUGUUGGUUGGGUAACGGCCUACCAAGGCGACGAUCAGUAGCUGGUCUGAGAGGAUGAUCAGCCACACUGGGACUGAGACACGGCCCAGACUCCUACGGGAGGCAGCAGAAGGG